GUAAACGGCGGCCGUAACUAUAACGGUCCUAAGGUAGCGAAAUUCCUUGUCGGGUAAGUUCCGACCUGCACGAAUGGCGUAAUGAUGGCCAGGCUGUCUCCACCCGAGACUCAGUGAAAUUGAACUCGCUGUGAAGAUGCAGUGUACCCGCGGCAAGACGGAAAGACCCCGUGAACCUUUACUAUAGCUUGACACUGAACAUUGAGCCUUGAUGUGUAGGAUAGGUGGGAGGCUUUGAAGUGUGGACGCCAGUCUGCAUGGAGCCGGCCUUGAAAUACCACCCUUUAAUGUUUGAUGUUCUAACGUUGGCCCGUAAUCCGGGUUGCGGACAGUGUCUGGUGGGUAGUUUGACUGGGGCGGUCUCCUCCUAAAGAGUAACGGAGGAGCACGAAGGUUGGCUAAUCCUGGUCGGACAUCAGGAGGUUAGUGCAAUGGCAUAAGCCAGCUUGACUGCGAGCGUGACGGCGCGAGCAGGUGCGAAAGCAGGUCAUAGUGAUCCGGUGGUUCUGAAUGGAAGGGCCAUCGCUCAACGGAUAAAAGGUACUCCGGGGAUAACAGGCUGAUACCGCCCAAGAGUUCAUAUCGACGGCGGUGUUUGGCACCUCGAUGUCGGCUCAUCACAUCCUGGGGCUGAAGUAGGUCCCAAGGGUAUGGCUGUUCGCCAUUUAAAGUGGUACGCGAGCUGGGUUUAGAACGUCGUGAGACAGUUCGGUCCCUAUCUGCCGUGGGCGCUGGAGAACUGAGGGGGGCUGCUCCUAGUACGAGAGGACCGGAGUGGACGCAUCACUGGUGUUCGGGUUGUCAUGCCAAUGGCACUGCCCGGUAGCUAAAUGCGGAAGAGAUAAGUGCUGAAAGCAUCUAAGCACGAAACUUGCCCCGAGAUGAGUUCUCCCUGAGACUUAGAGUCUCCUGAAGGAACGUUGAAGACGACGACGUUGAUAGGCCGGGUGUGUAAGCGCAGCGAUGCGUUGAGCUAACCGGUACUAAUGAACCGUGAGGCUUAACCUU
rnacentral:rRNA from 1 species